UGAGAAGCCGCGCCCCUUCCUUCUCUGGCUUUCAUGGAGAGUCCUGUGGAGCAGGAUUUGGGUGGGUGAGGUGCUUACCCGGGACGCGGACAAAAACCCAGGAUCCCACAGGACAUCACUUGGCCAAGUUCUUCACUGUGUUCAGAAUGGGGGAGAGGGAGGCAGGAGUACUUACAAGAGACAUACACGGGCCUCUCACUGUUGUGGCCUCUCCCAUUGCGGAGCACAGGC